CAGUUAUCACAUGUGAGAGCCCAACUAGUCCUCUUGUACCUCCUCUGCCUUUCCUACUAGUCGCAUUGCGGUGAAGUGUUUUCUUCUGUCUGUGGUUACAAGACUUCUCUCUAGCUAGUGUUCAGUUGAUUAUUCAGGAUGAUUUCUUUAUAAUUUAGUUGUAAUUCCAGAUUGGUCCUGGAAGAAGGUUAGUGUAGUUUCCACUUACUCCCCUACCAUCUUGGAUCUAAAUAUUUUAAUUUUAG